AGUGAACGCUGGCGGUAGGCCUAACACAUGCAAGUCGAACGGCAGCACAGUAAGAGCUUGCUCUUACGGGUGGCGAGUGGCGGACGGGUGAGGAAUACAUCGGAAUCUACUUUUUCGUGGGGGAUAACGUAGGGAAACUUACGCUAAUACCGCAUACGACCUACGGGUGAAAGCAGGGGAUCUUCGGACCUUGCGCGAUUGAAUGAGCCGAUGUCGGAUUAGCUAGUUGGCGGGGUAAAGGCCCACCAAGGCGACGAUCCGUAGCUGGUCUGAGAGGAUGAUCAGCCACACGGGAACUGGGACACGGUCCAGACUCCUACGGGAGGCAGCAGUCGGGAAUAUUGGACAAUGGGCGCAAGCCUGAUCCAGCCAUACCGCGUGGGUGAAGAAGGCCUUCGGGUUGUAAAGCCCUUUUGUUGGGAAAGAAAAGCAGCAGGUUAAUACCCCGCUGUUCUGACGGUACCCAAAGAAUAAGCACCGGCUAACUUCGUG
rnacentral:rRNA from 1 species